AUUAAUACCGCAUACGACCUACGGGAGAAAGGGGGCAGUUUACUGCUCUCGCUAUUAGAUGAGCCUAAGUCGGAUUAGCUAGAUGGUGGGGUAAAGGCCUACCAUGGCGACGAUCUGUAGCUGGUCUGAGAGGAUGAUCAGCCACACCGGGACUGAGACACGGCCCGGACUCCUACGGGAGGCAGCAGUGGGGAAUAUUGGACAAUGGGGGAAACCCUGAUCCAGCCAUGCCGCGUGUGUGAAGAAGGCCUUUUGGUUGUAAAGCACUUUAAGCAG
rnacentral:rRNA from 1 species